GUUGUAUGGUUAAGUGACUAAGCGUACACGGUGGAUGCCUGGGCAGUCAGAGGCGAUGAAGGACGUACUAACUUGCGAUAAGCGCAGAUAAGGCAGUAAGAGCCGUUUGAGUCUGCGAUUUCCGAAUGGGGAAACCCAACUGCAUAAGCAGUUACUGUUAACUGAAUACAUAGGUUAACAGAGCAAACCGGGGGAACUGAAACAUCUAAGUACCCCGAGGAGAAGAAAUCAACCGAGAUUCCGGUAGUAGCGGCGAGCGAACCUGGAUUAGCCCUUAAGCACUCGGUGAAGUAGGUGAACAAGCUGGAAAGCUUGGCGAUACAGGGUGAUAGCCCCGUAACCGACGCUUCAUCGAGCGUGAAAUCGAGUAGGGCGGGACACGUGAUAUCCUGUCUGAAUAUGGGGGGACCAUCCUCCAAGGCUAAAUACUCCUGACUGACCGAUAGUGAACCAGUACCGUGAGGGAAAGGCGAAAAGAACCCCUGUGAGGGGAGUGAAAUAGAACCUGAAACCGUGUACGUACAAGCAGUAGGAGCACCUUCGUGGUGUGACUGCGUACCUUUUGUAUAAUGGGUCAGCGACUUAUAUUCAGUGGCAAGGUUAACCGUAUAGGGGAGCCGUAGCGAAAGCGAGUCUUAACUGGGCGCUCAGUCUCUGGAUAUAGACCCGAAACCGGGUGAUCUAGCCAUGGGCAGGUUGAAGGUUGAGUAACAUCAACUGGAGGACCGAACCGACUAAUGUUGAAAAAUUAGCGGAUGACUUGUGGCUAGGGGUGAAAGGCCAAUCAAACUCGGAGAUAGCUGGUUCUCCCCGAAAGCUAUUUAGGUAGCGCCUCGGACGAAUACUACUGGGGGUAGAGCACUGUUAAGGCUAGGGGGUCAUCCCGACUUACCAACCCUUUGCAAACUCCGAAUACCAGUAAGUACUAUCCGGGAGACACACGGCGGGUGCUAACGUCCGUCGUGGAGAGGGAAACAACCCAGACCGCCAGCUAAGGUCCCAAAGUAUUGCUAAGUGGGAAACGAUGUGGGAAGGCUCAGACAGCUAGGAUGUUGGCUUAGAAGCAGCCAUCAUUUAAAGAAAGCGUAAUAGCUCACUAGUCGAGUCGGCCUGCGCGGAAGAUGUAACGGGGCUAAGCAAUACACCGAAGCUGCGGCAAUGUCUUUUAGACAUUGGGUAGGGGAGCGUUCUGUAAGCCGUUGAAGGUGAAUCGUAAGGUUUGCUGGAGGUAUCAGAAGUGCGAAUGCUGACAUGAGUAACGACAAAGGGGGUGAAAAACCUCCUCGCCGGAAGACCAAGGGUUCCUGUCCAACGUUAAUCGGGGCAGGGUGAGUCGACCCCUAAGGUGAGGCCGAAAGGCGUAAUCGAUGGGAAACGGGUUAAUAUUCCCGUACUUCUGACUAUUGCGAUGGGGGGACGGAGAAGGCUAGGUGGGCCAGGCGACGGUUGUCCUGGUUCAAGUGCGUAGGCUUGAGAGUUAGGUAAAUCCGGCUCUCU
rnacentral:rRNA from 1 species